UAGCUUGCUAAGGCCGAUGGCGACCGGCGCACGGGUGAGUAACACGUAUCCAACCUGCCGUCUACUCUUGGACAGCCUUCUGAAAGGAAGAUUAAUACAAGAUGGCAUCAUGAGUCCGCAUGUUCACAUGAUUAAAGGUAUUCCGGUAGACGAUGGGGAUGCGUUCCAUUAGAUAGUAGGCGGGGUAACGGCCCACCUAGUCUUCGAUGGAUAGGGGUUCUGAGAGGAAGGUCCCCCACAUUGGAACUGAGACACGGUCCAAACUCCUACGGGAGGCAGCAGUGAGGAAUAUUGGUCAAUGGGCGAGAGCCUGAACCAGCCAAGUAGCGUGAAGGAUGACUGCCCUAUGGGUUGUAAACUUCUUUUAUAAAGGAAUAAAGUCGGGUAUGGAUACCCGUUUGCAUGUACUUUAUGAAUAAGGAUCGGCUAACUCCGUGCCAGCAGCCGCGGUAAUACGGAGGAUCCGAGCGUUAUCCGGAUUUAUUGGGUUUAAAGGGAGCGUAGAUGGAUGUUUAAGUCAGUUGUGAAAGUUUGCGGCUCAACCGUAAAAUUGCAGUUGAUACUGGAUAUCUUGAGUGCAGUUGAGGCAGGCGGAAUUCGUGGUGUAGCGGUGAAAUGCUUAGAUAUCACGAGGAACUCCGAUUGCGAAGGCAGCCUGCUAAGCUGCAACUGACAUUGAGG
rnacentral:rRNA from 1 species